UGCCCAGCAACUUCUGUCCCUACCUCCUCGUGGUACUGAUUGGGGUACGAGUAACAUCAGGGAAGGUCGGGUAACCAACCAGGUGGGAACUUUGGUCGUAUGCUGACAGGGAAGG
rnacentral:ribozyme from 1 species